rnacentral:rRNA from 1 species
AAAUCCUCUUGCGGGGGGAUUCAGCCAGGAGGGGCGGAGGUGCACCGUCGGUCGAUCGACACGGACCUCCUCCAAGGCCGGGCCGCGGGCACGGUCUCCGUCCCGCCUGACGCAUUUCCUCCCGCACUGCGGACGCCGCAACCGGUCGGGUAGCUGCGCGAGUCGGCCACGAGGGCGGGCGCCGGCAGGUGGCCGGGGGCGUCGCUUCGCGCGAUCGCUCCCGGUUGUUAGCCAGCUCGUCCGUGGCGCGACACCCGACCGAGGUCGACCCGUUCCCGUUCGCUUGGGAACGCGCCGUCCCCUUUGCUAGCGGGCGCCCCGGCAGGCGUUGCCGCGUGCGUCGUCNAGUCACUCCGCGUAGUGGCCGGCGCGUCGCGGUCGCCGUUGGCCGGAGGCGAGUCCCGCGGGGGCGGUCCCGGGGUUGGCGGCGAGUAGGUUCGGUCACCCCACCCGACCCGUCUUGAAACACGGACCAAGGAGUCUAACAUGUGCGCGAGUCACGGGGUCUUGACCAGGCCCAGAGGCGCAAUGAAAGUGAAGGCCGCCCUCGCGGUGGCUGUGUUGGGACUCCGGCGCCCCUCUCUCCGUUCGUUCCUCUCGGGGUUCGGCGGGGGAGGGCUGCGGACGGAAGCACCAACGACCCGUCCUCUCCGAUUUAUCGGUCGGGCGGAGUCGGAGCGUACACGUUGGGACCCGAAAGAUGGUGAACUAUGCCUGGGCAGGACGAAGCCAGAGGAAACUCUGGUGGAGGUCCGUAGCGGUUCUGACGUGCAAAUCGAUCGUCAGACCCGGGUAUAGGGGCGAAAGACUAAUCGAACCAUCUAGUAGCUGGUUCCCUCCGAAGUUUCCCUCAGGAUAGCUGGCGCUCGGAGGAAUCAGUCUCAUCCGGUAAAGCGAAUGAUUAGAGGCCUUGGGGGCCGGAAACGACCUCAACCUAUUCUCAAACUUUAAAUGGGUGAGAAGUCCGGCUUGCAUGACUGAAGCCCGGACGCUUUCGGAUGUGAGCGCCCAGUGGGCCACUUUUGGUAAGCAGAACUGGCGCUGUGGGAUGAACCAAACGCCGGGUUACGGCGCCCGAUGCGAGACGCUCAUGAGACCCCAUGAAAGGUGUUGGUUGCUAUAGACAGCAGGACGGUGGCCAUGGAAGUCGGAAUCCGCUAAGGAGUGUGUAACAACUCACCUGCCGAAGCAACUAGCCCUGAAAAUGGAUGGCGCUCCAGCGUCGAGCCCAUACCCGGCCGCUGCGGCAGAGCUUUCUCGAGUGAAGAGGCUUACGCCGCAGCGAGUAGGAGGGUCGCAGCGGCGAGCGUCGAAGGUGCCGGGCGCGAGCCCGCCUGGAGCCGCCGCUGGUGCAGAUCUUGGUGGUAGUAGCAAAUACUCAAGUGAGAAACCUUGAGGACUGAGGUGGAAGAAGGGUUCCAUGUGAACAGCAGUUUGAACAUGGGUCAGUCGGUCCUAAGGGAUAGGAGAAAUCCGUUCCGAAGCGGGACGUUGUCCGAGUGAACGUUCGUCCCGCUAGCGACCGAAAGGGAAUCGGGUCAAUAUUCCCGAACCCGGACACGGAGAUCGGGCCUUCGGGUCCAAGUGCGGUAACGCAACCGAACUCGGAGAUGUCGACGGGAGUCCCGGGAAGAGUUGUCUUUUCUUUGUAAGGGUCCGGGUCCCUGGAAUCGGCUCGUCCGGAGAUAGGGAUGCUGCUCCCGUAAAGCACCGCGGCUCUUGCGGUGUCCGGAGCGCUCCCGUCGGCCCUUGAAAAUCCGAGGGAGGAAGUGUGAUUUUCGUGCCGGACCGUACCCAUAUCCGCAGCAGGUCUCCAAGGUGAACAGCCUCU